rnacentral:rRNA from 1 species
UACAGAGGGUGCAAGCGUUAAUCGGAAUUACUGGGCGUAAAGCGCGCGUAGGUGGUUUGUUAAGUUGGAUGUGAAAGCCCCGGGCUCAACCUGGGAACUGCAUUCAAAACUGACAAGCUAGGGUAUGGUAGAGGGUGGUGGAAUUUCCUGUGUAGCGGUGAAAUGCGUAGAUAUAGGAAGGAACACCAGUGGCGAAGGCGACCACCUGGACUGAUACUGACACUGAGGUGCGAAAGCGUGGGGAGCAAACAGG